GAGGUCCUGCUGAGACCACAAGCCCUGUAGAGGUCCUGCUGAGACCACAAGUCCUGCUGAGGUCCUGCUGAGACCUCAAGUCCUGCUGAGGUCCUGCUGAGACCACAAGUCCUGCUGAGGUCCUGCUGAGACCACAAGUCCUGUAGAGGUCCUGCUGAGACCACAAGACCUUUAGAGGUCUUGCUGAGGUUGCAGGUCCUGUAGAGGUCUUGCUGA